rnacentral:sRNA from 1 species
GUUCCUCUCGGAGCGGAGACGGCAAAUGGCGGACUUCGAUACCUACGACGAUCGGGCCUACAGCAGCUUCGGCGGCGGCAGAGGGUCCCGCGGCAGUGCUGGUGGCCAUGGUUCCCGUAGCCAGAAGGAGUUGCCCACAGAGCCCCCCUACACAGCAUAUGUAGGAAAUCUACCUUUUAAUACGGUUCAGGGCGACAUAGAUGCUAUCUUUAAGGAUCUCAGCAUAAGGAGUGUACGGCUAGUCAGAGACAAAGACACAGAUAAAUUUAAAGGAUUCUGCUAUGUAGAAUUCGAUGAAGUGGAUUCCCUUAAGGAAGCCUUGACAUACGAUGGUGCAGUAAGUAUCCUCAGGUUUUCUCUGUCAUAGCAGUUGAGAUUGUUUUCUUUGCCAAUACUUACACUAUUUUCCCUUUAUCAUUAGCUGUUGGGCGAUCGGUCACUUCGUGUGGACAUUGCAGAAGGCAGAAAACAAGAUAAAGGUGGCUUUGGAUUCAGAAAAGGUGGACCAGAUGACAGAGGUGAUUGGUUCUUCUAAAGCUGAACGUCAUAAAGAUUUGCAGUAUGCCUACCAAU